AUUGAACGCUGGCGGCAUGCUUUACACAUGCAAGUCGAACGGUAACAGGCCGCAAGGUGCUGACGAGUGGCGAACGGGUGAGUAAUGCAUCGGAACGUGCCCAGUCGUGGGGGGAUAACGCAGCGAAAGCUGCGCUAAUACCGCAUACGAUCUAUGGAUGAAAGCGGGGGACCGUAAGGCCUCGCGCGAUUGGAGCGGCCGAUGUCAGAUUAGGUAGUUGGUGGGGUAAAGGCUCACCAAGCCAACGAUCUGUAGCUGGUCUGAGAGGACGACCAGCCACACUGGGACUGAGACACGGCCCAGACUCCUACGGAGGCAGCAGAGGGAAUUUUGGACAAUGGGCGCAAGCCUGAUCCAGCAAUGCCGCGUGCAGGAAGAA
rnacentral:rRNA from 1 species